rnacentral:rRNA from 1 species
UACGUAGGGUGCAAGCGUUAAUCGGAAUUACUGGGCGUAAAGCGUGCGCAGGCGGUUGUGCAAGACAGAUGUGAAAUCCCCGGGCUCAACCUGGGAAUGGCAUUUGUGACUGCACGGCUAGAGUGUGUCAGAGGGGGGUAGAAUUCCACGUGUGAGCAGUGAAAUGCGUAGAUAUGUGGAGGAAUACCGAUGGCGAAGGCAGCCCCCUGGGAUAACACUGACGCCUCAUGCACGAAAGCGUGGGGAGCAAACAGG